rnacentral:rRNA from 1 species
UACGUAGGGUGCAAGCGUUGUCCGGAAUUAUUGGGCGUAAAGAGCUCGUAGGCGGUCUGUUACGUCGGCUGUGAAAACCUGGGGCUCAACCCCGGGCCUGCAGCCGAUACGGGCAGACUAGAAUUCGGCAGGGGAGACUGGAAUUCCUGGUGUAGCGGUGAAAUGCGCAGAUAUCAGGAGGAACACCGGUGGCGAAGGCGGGUCUCUGGGCCGAUAUUGACGCUGAGGAGCGAAAGCGUGGGGAGCGAACAGG